rnacentral:SRP_RNA from 1 species
ACCGGGCGUUGUGGCGUGCGCCUGUAAUCCAGCUACUUGGAAGUCGGGGUUGGUGGAUCGCUUGAGAGCGGGAGUCCUGGAUGUCGUCGUUCUAUGGCGAUCGGGCGUCCACGCUAAGCUCGGCAUCGAUAUGGUUGAUUUGGUCGGAAGACUGGCCAACCAGGUCGUCUAAGGGGGGACGUACUGGCCCAGGGCGGAAACGCAGCAGGCAAAAGUCCCCGUGUGGAGCAGUAGUGGGAUAGCGCCUGUGAAUAGGCGGCGACUUGCAGCCUGUUCAACAUAGUAAGACCCAAUCCUUU